rnacentral:rRNA from 1 species
AGUGUCUUAAGGGCGUUCGGUGGAUGCCUUGGCGACAAGAGGCGAUGAAAGACGUGAUACGCUGCGAUAAGCUAUGGGGAGCUGCGAAUAAGCUUUGAUCCAUGGAUUUCUGAAUGGGGCAACCCACUCCGUAUGGAGUACCCGUAAGGGAGCAAACCCGGGGAACUGAAACAUCUAAGUACCCGGAGGAAAGGACAUCAACCGAGACUCCGCAAGUAGCGGCGAGCGAACGCGGACCAGGCCAGUGGUGUUGGCAAGACAAGUGGAACCGUCUGGAAAGUCGGGCAAUAUGGGUGACAGCCCCGUACACGUAAUGCGAACCAACAUCCUCGAGUAAGGCGGGACACGUGAAAUCCUGUCUGAAAUUGGG